rnacentral:rRNA from 1 species
GACGAACGCUGGCGGCGUGCUUAACACAUGCAAGUCGAACGGUAAGGCCUUUCGGGGUACACGAGUGGCGAACGGGUGAGUAACACGUGGGUGAUCUGCCCUGCACUUCGGGAUAAGCCUGGGAAACUGGGUCUAAUACCGGAUAGGACCACUGCCUGCAUGGGUGGUGGUGGAAAGCUUUUGCGGUGUGGGAUGGGCCCGCGGCCUAUCAGCUUGUUGGUGGGGUGAUGGCCUACCAAGGCGACGACGGGUAGCCGGCCUGAGAGGGUGACCGGCCACACUGGGACUGAGAUACGGCCCAGACUCCUACGGGAGGCAGCAGUGGGGAAUAUUGCACAAUGGGCGCAAGCCUGAUGCAGCGACGCCGCGUGAGAGAUGACGGCCUUCGGGUUGUAAACCUCUUUCAGCACCGACGAAGCGCAAGUGACGGUAGGUGCAGAAGAAGGACCGGCCAACUACGUGCCAGCCGCCGCAGUAA